rnacentral:rRNA from 1 species
UACGUAGGUGGCGAGCGUUUGUCCGGAUUUACUGGGCGUAAAGGGCGUGCAGGCGGUCUGCUAAGUCUAGGGUGAAAGCUCCCGGCUCAACUGGGAGAGGUCCUUGGAUACUGACAGACUUGAGGGAGGCAGAGGAGAAUGGAAUUCCCGGUGUAGCAGUGAAAUGCGUAGAUAUCGAGAGGAACACCAGUGGCGAAGGCGAGUCCCUGGACAACUCCUGACGCUGAGGCACGAAAGCUAGGGGAGCAAACAGG